rnacentral:lncRNA from 1 species
GAGUCGGUUACGUGUAGAGAAGGUAUUAGUACCCUACAACGCCUGCUCGAAGGCAGUACCUUUAACUAAAUACAAAAAGACGAUGUGGUUUUCAAAAUGUUUAACCUGUAGUAAAAAUUCUUACAAAACCUCAUACCGCAAUUUCCUAAGGCGUGUAGAUCACUGUCCUUAAGGACUUAUCCGCGGUGUACUGUGCAAGUCCCCC